rnacentral:rRNA from 1 species
GGUUGAUCCUGGCUCAGAUUGAACGCUGGCGGCAUGCCUUACACAUGCAAGUCGAACGGCAGCACGGGGGCAACCCUGGUGGCGAGUGGCGAACGGGUGAGUAAUACAUCGGAACGUGUCCUGUAGUGGGGGAUAGCCCGGCGAAAGCCGGAUUAAUACCGCAUACGAUCUACGGAAGAAAGCGGGGGAUCGCAAGACCUCGCGCUAUAGGGGCGGCCGAUGGCAGAUUAGCUAGUUGGUGGGGUAAAGGCCUACCAAGGCGACGAUCUGUAGCUGGUCUGAGAGGACGACCAGCCACACUGGGACUGAGACACGGCCCAGACUCCUACGGGAGGCAGCAGUGGGGAAUUUUGGACAAUGGGGGAAACCCUGAUCCAGCAAUGCCGCGUGUGUGAAGAAGGCCUUCGGGUUGUAAAGCACUUUUGUCCGGAAAGAAAACUUCUGCCCUAAUACGGUGGGAGGAUGACGGUACCGGAAGAAUAAGCACCGGC